GCAGAAGCUGGAAAGCCACUCCUUCGGUCACCCCAGAACUCGACACUUUUUCUGCAGAAAUAAAGAACAGCCUCUUCUGUUCAAAGACGGAGGAACCAAAGGUAGGAGCUCAGAAUGACAAAGUUACAAGUCUCUCAGGAAGGUGAGGACUUAUUAGUUGCAGGUACACUGAAAGCCGAUGACUAUUGAUGACUGAAGGCGCCAAAACAAGGAAGUUGGGAUGUAAAGUAACCCUCUUGCACAGAAUAGUUGCCUGAGUUAUGACCUUGCAAGACAAACAUUUGAAGGUUGAGGGCUCUGAAGUGUGUGAAACUGCUUAAUACAGUUAACCAUGGAUGGUUCGAACAGUACUUCCAAGCCAUACUGGUGUGUUUGAUUAGCACUUAGGAGGUGAGGCGGUCAUCCACCCUCUUAUCUAGUUGGACUUGGGGUAAAAUGAAUUGUCCAUAUUACCGCUAGAAGGAAUCCUCAAAUAUUUUUCUUUUGAACAAGGAAAA